AUUGAACGCUGGCGGCAUGCCUUACACAUGCAAGUCGAACGGUAACGGGCCUUCGGGUGCCGACGAGUGGCGAACGGGUGAGUAAUACAUCGGAACGUGCCCGAUCGUGGGGGAUAACGAGGCGAAAGCUUUGCUAAUACCGCAUACGAUCUACGGAUGAAAGCAAGGGACCGCAAGGCCUUGCGCGGACGGAGCGGCCGAUGGCAGAUUAGGUAGUUGGUGGGAUAAAAGCUUACCAAGCCGACGAUCUGUAGCUGGUCUGAGAGGAUGAUCAGCCACACUGGGACUGAGACACGGCCCAGACUCCUACGGGAGGCAGCAGUGGGGAAUUUUGGACAAUGGGCGCAAGCCUGAUCCAGCCAUGCCGCGUGCAGGAUGAAGGCCUUCGGGUUGUAAACUGCUUUUGUACGGAACGAAAAGCCUUCUUUUAAUACAGGAGGGUCAUGACGGUACCGUAAGAAUAAGCACCGGCUAACUACGUG
rnacentral:rRNA from 1 species